UUAAAUUGAAGAGUUUGAUCAUGGCUCAGAUUGAACGCUGGCGGCAGGCCUAACACAUGCAAGUCGAACGGUAACAGGAAGCAGCUUGCUGCUUCGCUGACGAGUGGCGGACGGGUGAGUAAUGUCUGGGAAACUGCCUGAUGGAGGGGGAUAACUACUGGAAACGGUGGCUAAUACCGCAUAACGUCGCAAGACCAAAGAGGGGGACCUUCGGGCCUC
rnacentral:rRNA from 1 species